rnacentral:misc_RNA from 1 species
UUACGGCGUCUACCACCGGUUCCCUAUGGCCAGGUUGCAGCGCAGCGUUGCCUUGGUCGUUCCUACAAGGCGCCGCCGCGGGUGCUCGAAACGUCACAUUGGACAGGCCGGCAGUAAAUGUCAAAAGGUUUGGGUCGAUUGAUCGGUGAUUGAAUGUGUGGGUUGCAUGAGAAAAAGUGGUAGGCACGAUGUAGGAGCGAUUGUUUAAAGAUAUUCACUAUAUUAAACAAUCAAUUUGUAAGUGCGCUACGUCAGGCCAUAAUCGGUCAAGUACGAGUUUAAUCUGCUGGCAUUGGUUGGAGAAGGAUAAGCAGAUUUGAAGACUAAUCUUUUAGCAAUAUGAACAUCAAAUAAACGGUGUUUUCGCUCAACGGAACUUCAAUAUCCUUCCCAACAAACUAAAAGAUUACUUCAUCAUGAUGCCACCAAUUGCUUCCGAACUGACCCGCUGUCGCGGAUGGUCGCCGGAAAAGGCUGGCGAACCAGUUGACCAAGCGAGGACUAGAACGAGCAAAAUCAACGACCUGCGGUCCAAACUGCAGCGGGUGAAGUUGGAUGCACAACAGAUCAUCGCGGACAAGCAGCUGGAGUUUUUGAAACAGCGCGAGGAACUCGAACGGAAUCACGAGAACGCAAUGUUUCAGCUACAACUGGAAGAGAAGAGGUGCAAGGAGUUCUACCAGCGGUCUUCACCUACGAUACUCCGAGGACCUGCCAAUCGUCGUGUUUACAGUUGGCCAAUCUGAAGGAACGCGAGUCGGUGCAAGAGAGGAGUGUCCAGCAUAUGAAUCGACAACGCCAGAACCGAGAGGACAGUCGCUUGCCCGAAAUCCUAACAGCCACCGAACACCAUAUAAUAGCAUACAAGGCACUGGAGGACGGGAAAGCUGGGAUGAAAGCGGAAGUCACCGGAGGAUUAGAUUAUUUCCGGUUUCGGUGGUCUGGUAUGAAGAAACAAGCCGUGCUGCAAGUCAUCCUACGCUUAUCUUCAACGGUAGUGCGAAAACGUCGUCCAGGACAAAUCACAGCGACGGAGACUCGACACGGAAGGAGAGUGAGCAGUAUGCUGAACCAGUUGGGGCGACAGAGGGUCGACGUCAAUAGUGCUUUCUACGAUGGGAUGACGCUGAACACGUGUAAUACGGAACCAGUUUUAAGAACACAUGGACGAUCACCUUCUGUGUCGUACGACAGCGGACGAAGAUUAGUAGUGGACGUCACUUGGCACCAGACCCUGAACUUGAUACUUUUUUGGGCUACCGGAAUGGAUGCAUUGAUUCGAGAGGUGACGUCGGUCAUGCUUGUGGUGGACCGGCUUCGGCAGUCAACUAAACGGAUCGCUCGAAACAUCUAUCGAACUGCGUUGCGCCGGGUGCUGGUCAAGUCUCAACGCAGAGUACAUCAUUACCACGUCGAUCCAGGAGAACGAACACCGAUUUUCAUACGGGUCGGGGUUCGUCGUCUACUAGUAGCGAGCCUUAUGGGACGGAAGAUGAAACUGAAAUUGGGCAUCGAGAGGAACAAUGAGCUGGGAACCCGAGAAGAUGAGCAGCUGAACUUGGCAGGACUUCAAGGCGUGGGCGGAAGGAAGCAGCAACCGGUGGAAAGGCCUACAAAUGUAGUCGUGAGUACAAUCAGUGAUAGAAGGUUCCACCGAUGGUACGGGUCGGGGAAUGUUACGGCGUCUACCACCGGUUCCCUAUGGCCAGGUUGCAGCGCAGCGUUGCCUUGGUCGUUCCUACAAGGCGCCGCCGCUGGUGCUCGAAACGUCACAUUGGACAGGUCGGCAGUAAAUGUCAAAAGGUUUGGGUCGAUUGAUCGGUGAUUGAAUGUGUGGGUUGCAUGAGAAAAAGUGGUAGGCACGAUGUAGGAGCGAUUGUUUAAAGAUAUUUACUAUAUUAAACAAUCAAUUUGUAAGUAAGAUACUUAGAAUGAAUUGUAAAACUAUGUCCUAAAUAUUGAAUUGAAUUUAGGUGCGCUACGUCAGGCCAUAAUCGGUCAAGUACGAGUUUAAUCUGCUGGCAUUGGUUGGAGAAGGAUAAGCAGAUUUGAAGACUAAUCUUUUAGCAAUAUGAACAUCAAAUAAACGGUGUUUUCGCUCAACGG